GCUGUCCAAUUGCUGACAAGAAUAUCAAAGGGUAGGAAUGGGAAUGUAUCCAAUCAGCGUCGACGUUGUUUCAGAACGUUUCAGAAGCAUGAUGGGCGAUGGAGCUACCGCCAAAGGAUUCGUUGGUGUUCGGUAGAACUCGGCAGAGUCGUUUUUGGUCGUGACGCAGAUGUAACAUGGACGCCGCCGGUGAUUACAACCAGCAUGGAUACCGGAUCUCAGCAGCCACUGAAUUCAGUUCGGUCUCUUCUCCAGCAUCCGUUCGAGAGGAGAACUAUGGUGGAAAAACUUAAUGUCAAAGAGCUUGGACCAGAUCAGCCCGACGUAAAGAUAAGCCAGCAGGAGAAGGAGAGAGAUAAGGCAUGGAUGAGUCAGGAGUUACAGACAUGAAACAUUUUUCUGAGAAGGUGAAGAAACACGAGUCAUCCCGGGCACACAUGGACAACAACACGGUGAAGCUAGCCAUGCUAGGCAGCAGAGCUAACGUUGCCAUGCAGGGAACAACAGCAGCUGGGUGCAGAGGUUUUUCACACCAUCCUGAGCCAUGCAAAAGAAGAUUCUUGUCACCACACCCAUGACCACAGCCGAAUCAGAAAGGUGCUUUUCUACUUUAAAGAGGAUUAAGACUUUCCUGAGGAACACCAUGACACAGGAUGGGCUGAAUGCUCUUGCCAUGCUCUCCAUGGGAAAAAAAAGCUUGUCACAAACAUUCCUGACUUCAAUAAAAAGCUAAUCGAGAGCUUUGCCACUCAGAAGGACAGAAGGGCAAAAUUUCUGUACAAAUGAGGUAUCACACACACACAAAUGCAUCCACUUGAUCUUUGUAUAAAGUUGACCUUGGCACAACACUCCAGAAAUAUUUAACAGUGUAAAUUUCUGGCAUUUUGUCUAAGUGGUGCUUACUACCAUUACUGUAACAGUGACCUGCUCAUAAUUUUUGGUGUUCACUCAAAUGUUGAAAUUAAACAAAAUGUUUUUGUUACUUGCCUCUUGCAUUGCCUAUUUACCAUUUAUGGUCAUGUUAUUUUAUGUGCAAUUUAAUGCAGUAUUUUUCAACCUUAGUCCGCAAGGCAGCGUGCCAAUAGUCAGACACACCUGGAUUAAUCAGUUUGUCCAAUGAUGUAAGACAGGAAAUAAAAGAGCUGUGCUUAAUUCAGGAAAUAGUGAAGUUGUGCACAAAGCUCAGAAAGCACAAGUUUGUUUAAAAAUAAAAAAAUAGCACAGCCCCACCAAAAACAUUUUUCACCAGCCG